rnacentral:rRNA from 1 species
CCUACGGGGUGCAGCAGUCGAGAAUCAUUCACAAUGGGGGAAACCCUGAUGGUGCGACGCCGCGUGGGUGAAUGAAGGUCUUCGGAUUGUAAACCCUUGUCAUGUGGGAGAAAAUUAAAGAGAUAGUACAACAAGAGGAAGCUACCUCUAACUCAGUACCAGCAGCCGCGGUAAUACAGCGGUCUCAAGCGUUGUUCGGAAUCACUGAGCGUAAGGGGUGCGUAGGCUGUUUCGUAAGUCGGGUGUGAAAGGCGCGGGCUCAACCCGAGGACGGCACAUGAUACUGUGUGACUAGAGUAAUGGAGAGGGAAGCGGAAUUCUCGGUGUAGCAGUGAAAUGCGUAGAUAUCGGGAGGAACACUAGUGGCGAAGGCGGGUUCCUGGACAUUAACUGACGCUGAGGCACGAAGGCCAGGGGAGCGAAAGGGAUUAGAUACCCGUGUAGUC